UUCAGUCAUGUAAUCCAUCCAAAAACUUUUUAAAGUGUGUUCUACUAUUUUCAAGUGAGAAAACUGAGGCACCCAGAGAUGAAGGCAAUUGCCCAGAGUUGUACAAAUGCAAGCACAGAAUCGGGAUUCAGACAUAGGCCAUCCAGCUGCAGAGCUUCCAGUCUGUCAACCCUCCUUCCUACACUGCUCCAAGGCAGUGAGUGGUCUCCACGUGGGUAAUAGAUUCACCCCUGGGGCAAACUUUCUUAUUCUGAUUUUCUCAUCAAAUUCAACAAAGUCCCCAAAUUUUACAAUAGAAAAACUCCUCCUAAUCAUGCACCUGAAUUUGCUGAAUAAGUUUUCACAAAGCUGGUCUCUAAGUGACAUUGCCUCUGAGAGAGAAGCAGCCCUGAGUGGCCUUGGGCAAAAUUGUCACAUGGAUGAAAUUCUGUCUGUAAAGAAGUGGCCCUAGAAUCCUGCUGUUUAGGGAAAACCCAUUACAUUUAGCAAUUGCUUGGGAACAAAAGUGAGAGCCAGAGGGGGCUUUAUGGUUCUGCUUAAGAAAGUCAAAAGUAGUUGUUAUUACUUAUGAGAAGGGGCGAGAAUAGGAUGAGGCUAGUGUAAAAACAAAACCAACAACUAGAAACAGUAACAUAGUAACAGUCUGGGAACUACAUGGCCAAAAGGGCGGUGAAAAUGCCACCAUGAUUUCAGGGACGCAGUGGGGCAAGGGAGAGGAGGUUAUCUACAUACAAUAUAGGAUAUUUUCAAUAUUUAAGAAUGGGGCUUCUUAGGUUUGAUUUGAAGGUGUUGGCAUUGCUUCAAGGUAAACCCUAUUAAGCCACUCCCCCAACCCCACUCCUACACUAGGACCCAUCCAUACAUCUGUUAUGAUGGAAGGAGGUGGUAGUGGAAAUCUGGGAAGGGUUGGUAUCACCAUUGUGUUCAGCAGCAGGGAAGCAGGAACCCAGAAACAGAGGGAGCUCCUGGGAGCUUUUGCCCAGUGGAAAUUUGCAGAAAUCACAGAAACAGCUCUGAAUGUACCCAAGUCUUGGAAUUAGGGCAUUUUGCACAAGCAUCACCUACAUUCAAGGAGCAGGGUGGCCCUAGCCAUCAUAGAGAUGAAAUGUCUCCUAGGCUGAGUACACUCCCUCUCCCUAAGAACCCAGAUUUGUCAUGGAGCCACUUAUUUAGUGACCUCGAAAUUCAGCUUUACAACUUUCUUGACUGAAUGGGAAAUGGAUUCCUUGUCUGUUUUUCAUAUUCUAUAUUCUCUUGACUCCUUAUCAUAGUUACUUCUUUUUCUUUGUCACUGAUAAAAAGAGAGCUGUCACUUUCAUUGCUAAGGCUUUCCUCAGAAUCUUUCAUUUUUUUUUUUUUGAAAUGACCUCAGGCUCCUUGUGCACAAACACUGAAACCAAAUAGUCAUAUUAUCACUGUGUUCCUAACCCUAGAGCCCUAGAGACACUUAGCAUGGGUGUGGGUUUGCAUAACAGGGAAACUAGUAUUGACCCGGUACAAAUGCUAACUUAAUGUUUAAAAAGUUCAGGGAUAAUGCUUCAAUGAUGCCAAGGUAGGGGUGUAUAUGUGUGAGUGUGUGUGUGCGUGUGUGUGUGUGUUUCUCUCUAUCACCUAAAUGUAUUUGAUGGGGAUACAAAGUUCAAGCAAAAGCAGAAAGAAAAAAAGGUUUGCAUGAAUGGUUAGGGAGAAUGGGUCCCUCUUCCAGGAAGGUUAGUGACUCACCGUGUGAGAAUACAUAAGUCAUCUAGUCUCCAUUUUCUAUCCUCUACCUUUAAAAUGGGGACUGCGACACUUGAGAAUGUGAGCACUCAAACAGAGUAUCUCCAAGGUACAUGAGACUCACUCAGGUACUCAAGUGUAUGCAUCCUUGGAAGGAAAGAUUUGAGUUGUGGGGAGAAAAAUGUCUAUGAAAGUAAGCCUUUCAAGACUUUAUGAUACUAUGAUGAUAUCUGAGAAAGUGGAGGCAAAAUCAUACUUACCAGAAAAGCUAAAAAGAGAAACUCAGAUUACAUGGAAACAGGGAGAGAGUGGAAUUGGGGGGAAGGCAUAGAGAAAAUGAAAACAAAAAUCCUAAUAUUCACCAAGGAAAGUAUUAUGAACUUUGUAUACUUUUAUUUUUGUUUUCUUCAAGCGAACUGUUCAACGACAUUCCAGCAUCUGCUGCCUAAACUCAUUUCUAAUUCACAUCUUUAGACACCUGUGCAGUUGGAACAGUUCAGCAUUCAAAGGACUUGGACUGGCAGAUAAACAUGUGAUAAACAGAUAAAACACCUCACUGUCCGUCCAUCUUUUUAUCGUUGGCAGGUGCUCUUGAAACAGAAUACAUAAAAGAAAAGAAAAAAUAAUCAAACCAACUCUUUAUUUUUGCCCUUUUGAAUAUAUUGUAGGAAACAGAAGUUUCUGACAUUAGUCUACUCUGAUUCAAUUAAACAAAUACCUUAUGCUUGCUCACCACCAAAAUGAGGAAGCUGCUUGCCCACAAAUUCUCUAAAGGAAGAUUCAGAAGAAAAAGGAAUUGCAGUUAAUCCUUUCCCAGGUCACACCUAAAAUAGGUCUCUGCUAAUAGGGAAGUUAGUUGUGUUUAAAAUAUAAAUAUACAUUUUAGAAUAUGUCGAAGGAAUCAUUGAUAAAAGAGUAGAGUCAGAACUUCAAGUCCCCAUUAAAGGGGCUGGAAAAUACAAGUACAGUAUAGUAUUUUCCAAACUGUGUCUUAGGGUCUGAGAACUUCUGUUAGAUAUUCUCCCAAAAAAUAAAUCUAUAAAGAGUGUUUCUUUGGUUAAGUAAUUCUGGGGAAGACUGAGUAAAGAAAUUACUGCUUUCUGCAAAAUUUGGCAAAUGUAUAUUAUGAGUUUCUGAGAGAGAGAUGUAUAUAGUAAGCAGCAACUCUCAAACGUGAAACUAUUUUGGCAAUGGCAAAUAAUAUCUCAUGUUUUAAGGAAAGCAGGCUAGAAAAUGCUGACAUGGAACAAAAUUGUACUUGAAGCUUUGUCUAAGUGUUCUGAGUAGAUUAUACAAUGUAUCAGUAAAUAAACAUUUUGAUAUCAUACCC
rnacentral:lncRNA from 1 species